CUGCCAGCAGCCUCACUCACUGGUGUCUCUGAGAACUGAGUCGUGUCCCAAGAUUGAUGAACAUAGGUGCUGGAUUCUCCUCCUGCUGCUGAUCAUCACUCAGGGCCCAGAAAGAAAUUUCAAGGAGGUGCAUGUGAAGACCAGUCCUCUCCUCCCACCAUGUGGAUCCUGGAAAUCAAACUCAGGACACCGGAGUGGUGUCUGUAGGGACUUGCUCUGUGAAGGCUGCUGGUACUCCCACACACCGCGGACACCACUGUGGGAACGGAACGUCAGACUUACAUAAAUAGAUGACAAAUGAAGGGAGCACAUGCCUUACAGUGACCUGUCUAUCGAUAAAUCAACACCACCACCACCCAGCAUGUCGUUUGCAAGGGCAGAAGGCAGAAUGGCUUCGGUUACAGCCAGAGGUUUGCUGGCUUUUCAUUUGUCACCUUUUCCUCAGGAUGGCAGAGUACUCUUUAUUUUGCGGAAGUCCUCACUGACCAGAUUCUGUCUCCACAGAACUUAGUCAGGAAGAACAGGUUCCACCAAGCAUCAGUCGAGACAAGGCCACCUUCUGAAUUCUCAUCCCAAAGCUGGCAGCCCUCUCUGCUGACUUUCUCUCCUCAGCUCAUCUGUCCCAUGCCUUCCUCCCCCAUCACCGUAAUUAUGGCUGAAUUACUUAGCAGCCCCAUUUUGAAUUGCAAUCCUGUACACCUGAGGAAAAAAGACAGACUCCAGGCCUGGGGUGGAAAGUAAUUCCUGCCUCAGGGUUGGCCUGGGUAGUCCUGAUUCGCUCAUUAAUCAAGGUUUCUCAAUCUCCGCUCGGUUGACACUUUAGCCCAGGCAAUUAUCCUCGGGCUCACCGAUGUAUGGCACAGUAGCUGCAGCCCCAGCCUUCAUGCGCUACACACUAAUAAUGUGACUCUGCUCUCCUCAGGCAGUAUAAAAAAUAUCUCUGCACACACUGCCAGCGUCCUCCAGAGAGGCAAAGAUCAUCCCUGCCUGAGGCCCCUGGGCCAGAAAGAAUAGGAUUCUCUCAUUAUUCUCCAGAACUUUCUGCCUGGUGCUCCGCGGGACUGGGAGUAUGUAAGUCAGUAAGCAGCUGCAGGCUCAGAAAGAAUUGCAAGGAAUUACUCAAUAAAUAUCUGCUUAUAGCUCAAGGCAUGUGUACAAUAUCUAAGAGGGAAUACAGCCGAGACAUCCACCGAGAAUGGACAGAUAAGCAUCAAUCUAUCCAUGAAUGAUAUAUUCUACAGAUUUAAAACAGCACAAUGUAUAUGUCCUACAAUGUAAGGGAGCCUGGGAAGCAUAGUGCUAGUGAAGGAAAACAAACACAGAAGGUUUUGUGUUCUUAACUAUUCUCUUCUAUGGAAGACACAGACCACAGAAGUCCCUAGAAACCCCAUGGAAGACUCAGAGAUGACAAUGCCAGGAACCAGCAGGAAGUAGGACAAUGUUGGUGAGCUGGAGGACAAAGCCAGAUUCCAGAGCCUGAUCCACACUGGCCUGAGCAGUACCCAGCGUUGAAGCCAAAGUCCCUUGGCCCUUCUCUCUCAGAGAUCUGAAGUGAGGCCUAGAGGUGAUAAAUCAGGCCCAGCAUAUGGAAGUAACCAGAGUUUAUUUAUCACAUAACUGGAGUUACAGACAAUUGUAAGCUGCCAUGGGAGUGCUGGGAAUUGAACCCAAGUCCUCUGGAAGAUCAGUCCAUGCUCAUAUCCACUGAGCCAUCUCUCCAGCCCCUUGUCAUAGACCUUAAUGACCUUCAGCACAAGACUGGGACUGUUGAGGCAUACAGCGUCACUGAGCAGAUUCUGGGCUUGUCGUCUCUCCAGGGUACAGUCUUCAACUUACUUCCCUGUCCUAGACGUAAGCCAAUCUAGUGAAUUUUCUUUAAUCACACACACACACACACACACACACACACACACACACACACACACACACGUCCAUUCUUUCCCUCUGGAGAACCUUCAAUAUUAUCAUUUGUAUUUGGAGCUACUUAGCCUGAAGGUCUGCUGUACAGCAAUGUGUUUUGUGGACUUCACCACACCCCAGGAGAGUGGAAAACAUGCCCAAAGCCCAGACAUCACUUGCUUGUGAUCUCUUUAUCUGAAGAAAUGGUAUCAGAAAUGAUUACUCACUAAGGUGUUGCUUUAUCCAAGACAGAGGUAUGUUAUUAUGCCCACUCAAGCUUCCCACCCAACAAACGUGCAUGACCACGACUUUGUUAUAUAAACCUCCAAUUACAACUGUCUUUGAGUGUGUGCUUUAUUGUACAGAGAGACGGUAUUUCUUUAUUUUCUCAGAUAAAAGCAAGCUGGGAAAUGUUGCCUCUGUGACUUGGUAUUCAACAUGCUCAGAUGAGAUGUGGGCUGGGAAAGGAAGGGUUCAGUUCAUCACAGAUGAGGUAUUUUAAGGCUGUCUAUUAAACGGUCAUUGACAUUUGUAGAUUUGAAUCCAGUUUCAAUAAACAGACUGAUGGUUCUAUUACUAUGUUGUCACAUCUGUGCAGUGGACUGUGACAGGAUACAGCACUGGGCUGAUCCACCAGGACAUGAGAUUUCUUUGCACACUUAAGACAUCUUAUUUGCUAACUUCCAUGUCUUGGGGCCUUGCUGAGCCUUACUUUCUGAUCCUCUCUGCUUUGACUGGAGUGCACUUUAUUAUUGUUGUUGUU
ensembl:lncRNA